AUCCAGCCGACGAGUCUCAAAUAGGAUGAAACGCAUGUUCUGGAU
rfam:Schistosoma curassoni strain Dakar, Senegal genome assembly, scaffold: SCTD_contig0010312